rnacentral:tRNA from 1 species
CGGACUUAAAUCCGUUGGCUUUUAAUAGACCUUGAGGGUUCAAGUCCCUCUACCCCCA